GACGAACGCUGGCGGCGUGCCUAAUACAUGCAAGUCGAACGAGAGCGACCGGUGCUUGCACUGGUCAAUCUAGUGGCGAACGGGUGAGUAACACGUGGGUAACCUGCCCAUCAGAGGGGGAUAACAUCCGGAAACGGAUGCUAAAACCGCAUAGGUCUUCGAGCCGCAUGGCUCGAAGAGGAAAAGAGGCGCAAGCGUCUGCUGAUGGAUGGACCCGCGGUGCAUUAGCUAGUUGGAGAGGUAACGGCUCACCAAGGCCGUGAUGCAUAGCCGACCUGAGAGGGUGAUCGGCCACAUUGGAACUGAGACACGGCCCAGACUCCUACGGGAGGCAGCAGUAGGGAAUCUUCCGCAAUGGACGCAAGUCUGACGGAGCAACGCCGCGUGAGUGAAGAAGGUUUUCGGAUCGUAAAACUCUGUUGUUAGGGAAGAACAAGUGCUAGAGUAACUGUUAGCGCCUUGACGGUAUCUAACCAGAAAGCCACGGCUAACUACGUG
rnacentral:rRNA from 1 species